rnacentral:tRNA from 1 species
GCCCUCGUAGCUCAGGGGAUAGAGCAACCGCCUCCUAAGCGGUAGGUCGCAGGUUCAAUUCCUGCCGAGGGCGCCA